rnacentral:misc_RNA from 1 species
GAAGGGGUUUUGCUGAUCUGUGGCCAUGUUGUGCGGUGGAUUCUCAUCGGAUAGGAUGCCAGGUGUGGCCAUAUUUUGGACCAAGGAUGAUGCUAGAAGAUCUCCUCCCAAUGCGGGGGUGACAUAAAUGAUGCCUUUGUUUGGAAUCCUUGAAUCUAUAGCCAUCAAAGAGAAAAAAACAAAAAAUUGCAGGAAUGAUUAGGUCUAAGAACUUUAAAGACUAUUGGAAGCAAAAAGAGAGGAUGUCAUAAAAAGGAGGUAUUCUCGGAU